UACUUAGCCCCAAGCAGUCGACAAACCCCUUAUAUAAGCUGUUGAAUCUUCCCCAUAUUCCUCUAGAGGUCGUAGGGUAGCGUAUGAAUGCAGCUUUGGAGCCAGCCCACCUCAUUUAUAUCUCAAGUCUCCUGUUGGCCAGCUAUAUAGUUUCUCUCGGUUUCCUCACUGUAAAAUGGAGAUGAUGAUAAUAACCCAAAAGGCUCUGCAAUGGCAAACCACUUUGUAGAAGGAUCCUCCACGCUGCUCUGGGAUUAGAAGAUUCUCCCAGCUGCUGCAAUCUCAAGGACCCUUCUACAGCUGCUACUGGGGAUGCGACCUUCCUUAGUGGCUCUCUGAGACCACCGGUCAUCCCUGCCACUAUCCAUGGAGAUUUUUCCCGUAACAGUCAACCAACUGAAGGUCAUGGGGCAGAGCUACAUCCGUGGAGUCAUACAGUCAGGUCGCACCGGAAACGUGUAGAAAGUCUUCGGCCAUCCCUGACAGCCACUCUCCUUUCUCUAAAUAGGCUAUAGAAGAUGUUACAGGGAUGCCAGAUUCUGAAGUUAGAUUACUCGGUUCUGGCCAAUGCUCUGGCAUUUGCUAAUAAUAUGAUUUUAAUUACUAUAUACCUCAGCAUCCGCAAGUAUAAAAGGGAGAAACCGGUAAGGUUUACUUCAAAGCACUGAGGUGAAGAUUUAAUAGAAUAAUAUUGAAAAUGGCCUUAGAAGGGGCUUAAAUUAAUAUUCUGCUUAGCAUUAUAAGUAUGAUAUAACUCAAUAAAUUUUAACUAUUAUAGCCUGCUCAUCAGUCUACUUUUCAUAUAUAUAUAUAAUUGGUAUAUAUUCAUGAUGUGAUCUACUUUCUAAAUCCAAACUUGGUAAACCUAUUGCCCUCCUCAAUUCUAGGACUCUGGUUC
rnacentral:lncRNA from 1 species